CACGGUGUGUUAUUUGUUUGUGUUUUCUGUAAAUGUGAUACGAGAGAGUGUGAGGGAAGUAUGUUUUGGGAAUAGUACUGUGUGAAUGAGAGUUUUGUGAGUGUAUAAAUAAGUGUUAAUCUUACAUUUGGAUAAAAAGAUAUGUAGCGUUAUCUUGGGGUUCCAUUCAACACUGCCCAUCAUAUAAUAUCACGGUGUGGUAUUAUUAAAUGCUAGAUGUUAUUCUAUAAUUUCUGGAAGACUAGAGAACCGUUGAGAAUUAUUCCCAUAGGGCAGUGUCCGAGAAACGAACGUUUUUGGGUUCCGCUGGGUGUGUAUGGAUGAGGAGUCGUUGGAAAUGGAGUGAUUCAUUAAUAGUUUCCAGUUGUUUUGAAAAUACCAUAAAUCCAGAGAAUGCAAGACUUUGAUGACAAAAUUUACCCACGAAGGACCACCGCACCACCUUCCUUUUCAAAUGAGCACAGCACAACAAGCGGAGAUGUGUAUGUGCACCAUGCAGACUGGCACCCAGAUGACCAAACCGAAAGGAAAUAUGCGGCUGGUCAGGUUCUUCUACCUGGAUGAACACAAGUCCUCAAUCCGCUGGAUGCCCUCCAGGAAGCAUGAUAAGGCUUAAAGACAUGAGCCCUAGGACCAUGCCUCAGGACUACCUGGUAUGAUGACUCCUUGCUGUCCCCAGU